CGUCACGUUAGCGGGGGUUGGGUGACACACCGCGGGGCAGAAUGGCGAAGACGGGCCGCGCCUCUGUCCCUGAAUGGAAGACUCCACUUCCGCGGGUCACUUUCAGAAUAAAACCACUGUCAACUAGAAAAUAAUAGCAAUGACUGUCUACAGGGCUCUCCCACAGAGAGGGGACAUGCACCUCAUUCCAUGGGACAAAUAUGUGCUUUUAUUUUGAAAGCUAAAGGAACAGUUGAGUGUUUAGCUGUGUUUGUCCUGCAGCUUCUCACGUCUCAUUCUGGGAGACUCCACCGAUGCAGAAUUAUUAUCCAGACCACAGACUGUAAAGAGCCGCCCUGCGAACACACACUGCAUAAUGUGUCAACAUGUGUGUAAUGUGGCUGACGCCUCUGCCGCUGAUUCUCCAUCCUAGUCUGUACUCUCAUGUACAUACUGUGUGAAUCAUAUGGAAAGUCUUAAGUUUUCAUUGUGGAAACUCUACAGAAGUUCAACAUGGCGGGUGGGAGCCAUUAAGAAACAUGUGCCAGACCAUUACUGAGAGUUUAAAAAAAGGAAAAAACAUCCACAGGUUUUACAGACACUAAAUGGAAAGAAUGUGUCACUAUUACUACAGUGGAUGAAAAUAAGGGGAUAAUAAUAAGAGAUCAAAUUAACUGCAAAGAAAAUAUGAAAUCCUAUAAUGACAGUGCUGCGCCCCAGUGAGGUAGCAGCAUAAUAAUAUGUCUAACUUUAUUUCUCCCAGUGGCAGAUAUGGCAGCUAUUAUUUGUUGGUUUCUCCGCUGGCUGCGUCAUGAAACCCAAACCACAUUUAUUUCCUUAAAAGGAAAGGGCCUGACUCCCCCUCCAGGAGAGAUCAGACUGUGAUAGUAACAAGAGAAAUUCAUAGUAAGAAAGAAACGACUGAUGCAUCUGAAGUGCUUUACAAGAUGAAAUGACACAAGCUAUUAAAGAAAACAAUUAGAAUGUCAAGCAUCUUUAUUGAAAAGAAGACCCCUAUAAAAGAAAGAAAAUAAAACAGAAAAAAAUAAUUGGGGGUUAACAGAGUCAGGCCUAAAUAUCAAAUCAUCAUUCCCCUUCAUAUUUGGUUGCAGAAAGUUCUGAGCUAUCCCUCAUGUGAGGUAACAGACGGAAGGGUUGAUAAAAUUCAUUGAUUAAAAGAGAGGAGCAAAUGAGUGUCAUCUGCACAACGUUAAGAUUUUACAAGUCUGGAAACCUGAGGUGCUCUGUUGUCUAUCUCACAGCCCCUCCAGAUGAAUAUAUGAACAGUCUGUGUGCCUUGUAUGUUCCAGCAACAUGGAACUUUUCCAAAAAUAAAUAAGCAUGUAGCUGAAGAUCUGCAGAUGCAAAUUGGUUUCAUCAAAGGCAAUUAUAAGUCAAAAUUAAAAAGUAAUUUCACAUUUCCUCAUCCACUGUCUGUGAAACCAGCUGUUGCCUUAUGUAAAUUAAGAUUUCAACACAGUAACAAUCCAGUUUAUAUACAGUAAAAGUUUAUUCACCCACAUACAGAUAUUAUAUAGGUCCAUUUCUCUCAUCCCUCCUACUGACAUCAACCCUCAUAAAUAUAAAAGAAGAGGAUAAAAAUACAUUCACUCACGCUGAAAGAAUCACAGAAAAAAGCUGCCAGUGGAAUUAGAAAAAGCCAGUGAUCUUUAUCAAUGAUAGGACUUCAGUAUUUGUGUAAUGGAAACAUGAGGAACAGACAUGUGUGUUUUAGGGAAAGUGGGACCUCUGUGUGGAUAUGUGUCCCCCUCCAAAAUCUCAACAGUUGCGCCAGAGGUCAUAAUGACACGCUGUAAAAAGAAGCACCCAUGAGUCUGGUUGGGAGUCUUGCUCAAGGACACUCUAGCGGGGUGGAUGUGCUUGGUGUCACCGGAACUGAGAAGACAGCCGACUUCAGACGAGAUCUCUGAUGUUUGGCGGUUUAAACGACAGCACGACAACUGACAAAUCAAUAAUUGGUUCCAGAAAAUUGAAACAGAAACCAUGAAAAGAAAAGUUUGGUAAGAACAACCACUAA